GGUUGCUGUCGGCUCUGCCAGGAGAGGGCACUGGAACAGUGGCAGGUCCUCCCCUGGGAUGUGCACAGUGAAACACAGUGAGGCUGGGGAGACACAGCCCUUGGGUUGCAGGACCCUCUCACAGCCUUGUCCUCUGCAUUCUCAUCUAAACCGUCAUCCUCCAUGGUGAUGGGUAUGUUUUCAGCUGGGUCUCCUUUGGGAGUGAGAAAGCCAUGAGGCUGCUGGUCACCCAGUGAAGCCGUGCUCCCUAGAUUCCUGCCUGGGUCCUAACUCUCCCUUUAACUCACAGCAAUGCCCAUCUAUAUAGCACUCCAAACAUGUCAACCAUCAUGGUUUCUGCUCCCUUGUGAUUGUACAGUCUUUGCUUGCAUCUCCAUAUGUUUCAUACAGUGAGUAUGUUUGAAUGUGAUGACUUCUCAGAUCCUUUGGGGAAUAUCUUCAACCUUCCAGAAGUUCAUGUAGGGGACAAUUGUGCACCCCACUUUUCCAAUAUAUCCUGAUCCUUUGGAGACUGCCUAAAACCCAAGGCAGGAAUGUUUUUGUUCAGUCAUCCAAUCCGACUCUUUGUGACCCCAUGGACUGCAGCAUGCCAGGCUUUCCUGUCCCUCACCAUCUCCUGAAGUUUGCCCAAGUUCCUGUCCAUUGCAUCACUGAUGCCAUCCAGACAGGAAUAGAAGACCACGAUUUUGACCUAUUUGAGAAUUCUGAUCUUACAAUUCCAUAAUCGUGGCAUGGUAAGGGGGCUGUGGUAGUGAGCAGCAGGGUUUAGGGCAGGUUUCUCAACAAGGGUAACACUGACAUUUGGGGCUGGAUAAUUCUUGGUGAUGGGGGCCUGUCCUGUACCUUGUAGAAUGUUUAUCAGGAUCUCUGACCUCUCCCUACCAGUAGCACCUUCAUUUGUGACAAUCAAAAAUGUCUUUAGAUGGGGGCACAGUUACCUCAGUUGAGAAUGUUGGUUCCCAUUAAUGCUGCUGCUUCUAUCAUCUCUCCUUAGGCCUCACAGGACUGGGUCUCAGAGUGGCCACCUGACGCAUACCCAUCCCCAGCCUGGGAGUGCAGACACCCUGAGCUCUGGGCUUUGUGCUCUCUCUCAUGUUCCCAUCCAAUUUAGGCUGAGGAUCGCGUCCAGUUCUCUCUGGGGUCCUGUACCAUUGUGAAGGACAGCUGUACCUGGCUCUACCAUUAAAGCCCCAAGGCCUAUUCCUCAUGGAUGAAAUGACGGGGUGCUCCAGAACAGGGGAACUCGCAGUGUGGUCCUCGGACCAGCAGCCGCAUCAUCUGAGAACCUGUUGAAAAUGUAGGCCCUCGGGCCUCCCUCCAGACUGUAGAGUCAGAAACUCUGGGGUUGGGGGCUGGCUACCUGUGUUUACCGCGUCCUCUGGGUGAUGCUGAUGCAGUUAAGAUUUGAGGACCACAGCUCUGGAACAUCUCAGGGGUCCCCUUCUGACUGCCGCUUUAUUGCUGGUCUUAUCACCCACCUCGCAGUAACUAGUGACUUGCAGAAAUGCAGUAGCUACAUUCUGGAGCGCAGCGAGUUAUCCUGAGGGCAUCAUUCAAUUCUCAAACUUAAAACAAUGCUAAACAAAACCAAAGCCACUAUGUAUACCCUGGCUUUUUCCAGAAAGAGACUCAAGGAAGCUUCCAUCCCAGGCCCAUUAGGAAGGAGCCCUCAGAGGUGGCCAGAGAUCUAGUGACCGGUAUGGGGCACCUGCAGUGCCCACCAGAGACAAGACGGCGGUCUGCAGGCUGCCCACCCUGAUGUUCCCCACGUGCUCCCACAGCAGCAUGAAUGGGCCUGACCUUUCAGAUCCUCUGGGGAGAGCACUGCCCAGCGACUUUAACAGAAGAGGCCUCUUUCCCUGUUCUGUUAGCAGAAUGCCCUAACAUCUCGCUCCCGCUGCUGGCAUUUAGCCCAUCGCUGGGUUAAUUCAAGCAAUACUAAUAACCUGUUUCCCAGUGAGAAGACCCCUUGCAGACCCCUAAAUCCUCCACGCUGGGUGCUGAUAACAGACUAAGAAUCCUGUCUGGCCACCUGCAGUCAUUCACAAAACAGCAUGGCAAAGGUCCAGCGCUGGAUUGGAUUGUGUGAUGACACCAAAAGAAACAGAACUUUUGCCAUUGACCUCCAUGAACCAGCCGUCUAGAGAGGAACAGUGC
rnacentral:lncRNA from 1 species